AAACAGAGUGUAGCAAGUGCCUU
rnacentral:snRNA from 1 species